CCUAAUACAUGCAAGUCGAGCGAACACAAGAGGAUNUUGCUCCUUUGAAGUUAGCGGCGGACGGGUGAGGAACACGUGCGUGACCUACCCUGGGGUUUGGGAUAACUCCGGGAAACCGGGGCUAAUACCCAAUAAUCUGUUUUACUUGGUGGAGCAUGACUGAAAGACGGAUUCGGGUGGCCCUUUUGGAAGGGCCCGCGGCGCAAUAUCUAGGUGGUGAGGUAACAGCUCACCAAGGGGACCAUACAUAAUGAACCUGACAGGGUGAUCUGACACACUGGGACUGANAUCGGCCCAGACUCCUACGGGAGGUUCAAUAUGGAAUCUUCCACUGAGGGCGAAAGCCUGAUGGAGCAACGCCGCGUGAGUGAANAANGNUUUCGGAUCGUAAAACUCUGUUGUAAGGGAAGAACAAGUACGGUAGUUACUGGCUGUACCUUGACGGUACCUUAUUAANAAAGCCACCGCUAANCACGUGCCUACAGCC
rnacentral:rRNA from 1 species